GCCCCCGUAGUUCAAUGGAUAGAACAAGGGACUCCUAAGCCUUAGAUCCAUGUUCGACUCAUGGCGGGGGCGCAA
rnacentral:tRNA from 1 species